rnacentral:misc_RNA from 1 species
GAUGAAGAACGUAGCGAAAUGCGAUAAGUAGUGUGAAUUGCAGAAUUCAGUGAAUCAUCGAAUCUUUGAACGCACAUUGCGCCCUUUGGUAUUCCAAAGGGCAUGCCUGUUCGAGCGUCAUUUGUACCCUCAAGCUUUGCUUGGUGUUGGGCGUCUUGUCUCUAGCUUUGCUGGAGACUCGCCUUAAAGUAAUUGGCAGCCGGCCUACUGGUUUCGGAGCGCAGCACAUGUCGCACUCUCUAUCAGCAAAGGUCUAGCAUCCAUUAAGCCUUUUUUUCAACUUUUGACCUCGGAUCAGGUAGGGAUACCCGCUGAACUUAAGCAUAUCAAUAAGCGGAGGA